GUGUCAGCCGCCGCGGUAAUACGAGAGGUGCAAGCGUUAUUCGGAAUUAUUGGGCGUAAAGGGUGCGUAGGCGGUAUGUUAAGUCUGUUGUUAAAUUUCCCGGCCUAACUGGGAAUCAGCGGCAGAUACUGAUGUGCUAGAGGAUGGAAGAGAGAAGUGGAAUUCUUGGAGUAGCGGUAAAAUGCGUAGAUCUCAAGAGGAACACCGAUGGCGAAGGCAGCUUCUUGGUCCAUUUCUGACGCUAAUGCACGAAAGCGUGGGGAGCAAACAGGAUUAGAUACCCUGGUAGUCCACGCUGUAAACGAUGAUCACUGGAUGUUGGAACUGCUUGCAGAUUCAGUAUCGAAGCUAACGCGUUAAGUGAUCCGCCUGGGGAGUACGGUCGCAAGAUUAAA
rnacentral:rRNA from 1 species